rnacentral:rRNA from 1 species
UGGGGAAUUUUGGACGAAUUGGGGGCAACCGUCGAUCCAGCAAUGCCGCGUGUGUGAAGAAGGCCUUCGGGUUGUAAAGCACUUUUGUCUGGAAAGAAACGCCGUGGUUAAUACCCGUGGCGGAUGACGGUACCGGAAGAAUAAGCACCGGCUAACUACGUGCCAGCAGCCGCGGUAAUACGUAGGGUGCAAGCGUUAAUCGGAAUUACUGGGCGUAAAGCGUGCGCAGGCGGUCCGCUAAGACAGAUGUGAAAUCCCCGGGCUUAACCUGGGAACUGCAUUUGUGACUGGCGGGCUAGAGUAUGGCAGAGGGGGGUAGAAUUCCACGUGUAGCAGUGAAAUGCGUAGAGAUGUGGAGGAAUACCGAUGGCGAAGGCAGCCCCCUGGGCCAAUACUGACGCUCAUGCACGAAAGCGUGGGGAGCAAAC